rnacentral:rRNA from 1 species
UACGUAGGGCGCAAGCGUUGUCCGGAAUUAUUGGGCGUAAAGAGCUCGUAGGCGGCUUGUCACGUCGGGUGUGAAAGCCCGGGGCUUAACCCCGGGUCUGCAUCCGAUACGGGCAGGCUAGAGUGUGGUAGGGGAGAUCGGAAUUCCUGGUGUAGCGGUGAAAUGCGCAGAUAUCAGGAGGAACACCGGUGGCGAAGGCGGUUCUCUGGGCCUUACCUGACGCUGAGGAGCGAAAGCAUGGGGAGCAAACAGG